AGUGAACGCUGGCGGUAGGCCUAACACAUGCAAGUCGAACGGCAGCACAGGAGAACUUGCUCUCUGGGUGGCGAGUGGCGGACGGGUGAGGAAUACAUCGGAAUCUACUUUUUCGUGGGGGAUAACGUAGGGAAACUUACGCUAAUACUGCAUACGACCUACGGGUGAAAGCAGGGGAUCUUCGGACCUUGCGCGAUUGAAUGAGCCGAUGUCGGAUUAGCUAGUUGGCGGGGUAAAGGCCCACCAAGGCGACGAUCCGUAGCUGGUCUGAGAGGAUGAUCAGCCACACUGGAACUGAGACACGGUCCAGACUCCUACGGGAGGCAGCAGUGGGGAAUAUUGGACAAUGGGCGCAAGCCUGAUCCAGCCAUACCGCGUGGGUGAAGAAGGCCUUCGGGUUGUAAAGCCCUUUUGUUGGGAAAGAAAUCCAGCUGGUUAAUACCCGGUUGGGAUGACGGUACCCAAAGAAUAAGCACCGGCUAACUUCGUGCCAGCAGCCGCAGUAA
rnacentral:rRNA from 1 species